rnacentral:rRNA from 1 species
UGGGGAAUUUUGGACAAUGGGCGAAAGCCUGAUCCAGCAAUGCCGCGUGCAGGAUGAAGGCCUUCGGGUUGUAAACUGCUUUUGUACGGAACGAAAAAGCUUCUCCUAAUACGAGAGGCCCAUGACGGUACCGUAAGAAUAAGCACCGGCUAACUACGUGCCAGCAGCCGCGGUAAUACGUAGGGUGCGAGCGUUAAUCGGAAUUACUGGGCGUAAAGCGUGCGCAGGCGGUUUUGUAAGACAGAUGUGAAAUCCCCGGGCUCAACCUGGGAACUGCAUUUGUGACUGCAUGGCUAGAGUACGGUAGAGGGGGAUGGAAUUCCGCGUGUAGCAGUGAAAUGCGUAGAUAUGCGGAGGAACACCGAUGGCGAAGGCAAUCCCCUGGACCUGUACUGACGCUCAUGCACGAAAGCGUGGGGAGCAAACA